CUGCCAGACUCCUACGGGAGGCAGCAGUGGGGAAUAUUGCACAAUGGGGGAAACCCUGAUGCAGCAACGCCGCGUGAAGGAAGACGGUUUUCGGAUUGUAAACUUCUGUUCUUAGUGAAGAAGAAUGACGGUAGCUAAGGAGCAAGCCACGGCUAACUACGUGCCAGCAGCCGCGGUAAUACGUAGGGGGCGAGCGUUAUCCGGAUUUACUGGGUGUAAAGGGAGCGUAGACGGCCAUGCAAGCUCGGUGUGAAAGGUGCGGGCACAACCCGCAGACUGCACUGAGAACUGUAUGGCUGGAGUGCCGGAGGGGCAGGCGGAAUUCCUGGUGUAGCGGUGAAAUGCGUAGAUAUCAGGAGGAACACCGGUGGCGAAGGCGGCCUGCUGGACGGCGACUGACGUUGAGGCUCGAAAGCGUGGGGAGCGAACAGGAUUAGAUACCCCCGUAC
rnacentral:rRNA from 1 species